CAGAGCUGCUCUCGGGCCCAGGCAUUCCAUACUAGCCACAAGGCAAGGGGGCGGCCUGCAGGCUUGCUCUGCAGGUCUUGAAGGCAAACAAGCUUGGCAACACACACCCAGCACGACUGAGUCUUAAUGAAUAUCAAAAUCCUGCCACUGUUUCUGGUUUCGAAGGAAAAAGUUCCCACCCUCUGCCUCUAACGAUGUUACUUGCUGUAGGUUUAUGGCUGAAAUUUGGAUGUAAUGGCCACCACUACAUUGCCACCUUGAAACGAGAACAGCUGCAGCCAAGGUAGUAGAGGGUGGACCCCUGAUGACUGUGAGGUCCUAGUCUAGAAGUGCUUCCUUUCAAACUCUGCUUA